CUCUGGAGGGAAGCACUUUCUGUUGUCUGAAAGAAAACAAAGCGCUUCUCUUUAGAGUG
rnacentral:pre_miRNA from 1 species